rnacentral:rRNA from 1 species
GACGAACGCUGGCGGCGUGCCUAAUACAUGCAAGUAGAACGCAGUUGCGAACGGGUGAGUAACGCGUAGGUAACUGACUGGUAGCGGGGGAUAACUAUUGGAAACGAUAGCUAAUACAGCAUACUACCAGAUGGACCUGCGUUGUAUUAGCUAGUUGGGUGGGUAACGGCCCACCAAGGCAACGAUACCUAGCCGACCUGAGAGGGUGAUCGGCCACACUGGGACUUGGACACGGCCCAGACUCCUACGGGAGGCAGCAGUAGGGAAUCUUCGGCAAUGGACGGAAGUCUUACCGAGCAACGCCGCGUGAGUUAAGAAGGUUUUCGGAUCGUAAAGCUCUGUUGUAAGAGAAGCGGUAUCUUACCAGAAAGGGACGGCUAACUACGUGCCAGCAGCCGCGGUAAUUC